GCUGUCGUAGCUCAGUGGUAGAGCACUUCAUUGGUAAUGAAGAGGUCGAGAGUUCGAACCUCUCCGUCAGCACCA
rnacentral:tRNA from 2 species